rfam:Penicillium oxalicum 114-2 unplaced genomic scaffold scaffold_1, whole genome shotgun sequence.
GCCCUACUGGCGCAAUGGUAGCGCGCUUGACUUCUAAUCAAGAGGCUGCCGGUUCGAGCCCGGCGUGGGGCU